rnacentral:lncRNA from 1 species
UUUAGAAUUUAUAGUUUAGUUUUCAGGAUUCACAGCAAAUUUUUUAAAAGAUUUCUAUUUUUAACAUAUUCAUUAUAUUAUUAUUAGAGUUUGGUGAAUAUGCUAAAUGCCUCUCCCUUCCAUGAGUUUAUGAAUUUCAAUUAUAUCUUCUCUUCACCAUUGGGUAUCUGGCCUAAUCAAUAUUAAUAGAUAUUUAACCACAUUUUAAAGCUAUAAUAAUUAAAAUAGUAUAAUACUUAUAUAGGGAGGAACAUUAAAUACUCAGGAGAUGUAAUUUUUUUAGCCUCUUAAUUUGGCAGUGUAUCUCAAAAUGUGGUAUGUAUCAAAAUAAUCUGGCCCCAAUUUCAUAACUUCUAAGUGGGAUGCAGCUCUGCCAUGUAUUUGUUGAAGGCAGUGAUGGUGGCAGUGAUUCUAAAAGAGAAAUUCUCAAUUUUGUAGCUGAUUCGCAUAGAGGGCUUGUGACUCCAUCACCUACUGUCUGUGUGACCCUGUGCAAGUUACCUAACCUUCCAUGCCUCAGACUCUUCCUCUCUAGAAGAACUGAGCAUAAUAAUAGUGCCUUCUUCAUCGGAUUAUUAUGAUAGUUACAUGAAUUAAGACAUGGAAUGUGCCAGGUACUAUGUAUAAGGUUGGAAAAGUGAGGUCCAGAGAGGCUUAGCUGGCUGAGUGUGACUGAGAAGAAAAGGCUUGGGGCUGCAAACUCCACAGAGAUAAAGUCCACAGACAGUUUGCUCAUUUCGGAAGAAAGCUCCUGACUGAGGUUCUUUAGAUGCGUUUAACGGAGGGACAGCUGUGCAGAAGCAUCACUGUCUCACUCUUUUCCAGACUGAUCAAAUGAAGCGUCUGUCAUGUCACACAUAUGGAGUUCUCUACCAACAGCAAAGGCUAUUUAGUCAAGUUCUACAGAUCAAAAGUCUAACACUGGUGUUAUUGGGCUGAAAUCCAGGCGAUGGCAGAGCUGCGCUCCUUUCUGGAGGCUCCGGGGAGAAUUCUCUUCCUUAACCUUUCAAGCUUCUCGAGGCCCUCUGCACUCCCUGGAGACAGGAGGAGAGAAGAAUCAUGGACUCCCUGGGCACAGCACCGCAGGUGGCUUUGCCAGUUCUCCCAGCCCCGCGCUGCUCCUGCGCCUGCGCUGAGCCUCCACGUGUCCUCAGGAGACUUAGCCUAGCCUGGGUAUCACCAGCAGUGGGCCAGGCCGCUUUGCCUUCAACUCCCAACAGUAACCUUGCAGAGGUCAGCCUGGGGCCACCAGGAGGAGUUAGUAAGAGCUUAUCCUGUGGGGGCACUCACUGGGGCUGGUGGCCGGGAAAUCCCAGGUGUUUUGUUGGUUUGAGUUUUGUUGUGUUUUUAUUUUUCUUCCGCUGAGAUCAGGACUGAAGCAGGGACGCAGUGCUCAGCACGCCCAGCCCACCGCGGGCCACUGCGCGGAGAACCUCUGCCAGGGUCGCCUGCUCACGUCCCCUAAUCCGCUCCUGGCGCGCGUUCCUGUCCUCCUCCUGCUGUGACUAGUGUGCAUGGAAGGGCACAGUGGUGGCAGAAAGACUUGUGGCGAGAUAUCAAGAUCCACAGGAAGUCAUAAGAGAAAAAGCAUUUUGUUUGAACUCCACCCACUGACCUUUUGUGGGUGAGCUUUCGGUGAAACAGCAACAUCCUCAGAAAUCUUAGAGACACGGCUUUGUAACCCGGGGGAGAGACACCGCUUCCAAAUAUAAUUGACGUGGCUUUCCUGCCUUAAUUCGGGGUAUCCUUUUUCCACCACAUAAUCUUCCCUUUGUCCGCGCUGAUUCCUGUUUAGUUUGGCAGGGCCAGCUGCUGGCAGGCUCCCCCAGUGCUGAAUGCUCCGCGCUCCACUGUGCUGGGCCUGCUGAAAAAGCAGACAGCGCUCCCUCUCCCCCAGAAUCAGGAGCCAAAUGCCACACCGAUUGUGCAACUUGUCUCUGGUUACCAGGAAAACGUAAAGAAAUGCCAAUGAAGCAGAAAGGUCGACAAAAUUCUUUCCAACGCUUGAACAAAAAAGGUAUUUUUAGGGCCCUAGAUUUAUGGAAGUCAAUUCUUCCACUCCUCGCCAGGCUUUCAAACCUCCUAUUCUUUGCACUACAUUAUUUGAAUAAACCGUAAAUACCCUUAGUUGCUCUAAUAGCAACUGCUGGUCCAUAUUGUGCAAGGCGGCCAUGGUCUGAAGACCUUGUUGAAUUUGAAAGACAGAAGUUCCGUUUCUGGCACAUAAACUUGAAUCAGGGCUAUAGUUAAGAGUGCCAGUGAGGUCCACAUUUUGACAGCUAGAUAAGCAGGUCAUUUAUUCAAAAGGACUUUGAAUCCAUGCCCAGAGUCAAAUGCAGUCCUUUGUAAAGCCCAGCAGGCUUGAAAUAAAAACUUCUUAACUGAGUUGAUCAGUGUCCUGCAUUUUAGGGGUCAGGAAAGUAUUUAUGAUAAGUUGGAAAUGGACAGGGCAGGAAAUUCUGGGCCUGGAAGGAUGGCUUCCUCACCAGGGACCGCACCACCAUAUUUUCUAAUUUGUGUCUUGAGGGAAAGUUUAUAUUUUUUGCUGAAAAUAUUAUCUCCUUGUGACAAAACCACAAG